ACUUUGGAAAUUGUGUUUGCAGGCUCCGAAAGUACGUCCUAACGAGCUGAAAACAGAGGAACACAUUCUUGUGGGGGUUGUUUCGUGUAUGUAUGAGAAAAUGUGAAGAGCUUCUUUUCUUUCGCGGGGGUAAGAGAUGUAAAUAGUCUCGACGAAUCGGGGCAAAAGGUGAUAUUAGAGUUUACAUCUUGAAAGUUUUUUAGGGUUUCGACAUAUGAAUAUACACCGGCAUUGAACAUCGAAAGUAAUGAAAUUACAAUUAGCACAACCGCUGAUCCCGACGGUUGUCUGAAUGUGAAUUCCUCUGCCCUGGACCAAGCAAAAGGGAUUCAAGCGAAUUCGUUUGAACAGUUCCCUAGUUUUUUGAAACAGUUGCUUAAAUCGCAUCUGUCUGGAAAAUUUUAUUUGGGUUUACCAAAGAAAUUUUGUGAUGCACAUUUGCCAAGCCACGAUGGAAGUAUUAUAUUGGUUGACGAAAACGAUCAAGAAUACAAUACAAAGUACUCUGUUCGAAAAAAUAGACUUGAGUGGUGGUUGGA